CAGCAAUUCAAUUGAACAGCACAAGCUAAGUACCGAUAAUAGGUAAAGUCAAGAGUCUAGCAUGCUUCACAAAAAGGCAGAUAUUGGAAUUUAGUCAAGUAGAGCAAAUAAGUUACUAACAUACUUUCCCUAAGCUAAAACAAAUGAAAUUUCAUUUUUAACUGUUAAAUACGUGAACAAACGCAGUCUAAAUAAGUCAAGUAAGGCAAAUUUUUAAUAAUUAGCAGAAGUACACGCCUGACACCACGUGCACAAGGCAUUGAAACAAUAGUCAAGAUGGGGAGAGGUCCCUCAUACAAGGUAAGACAAGCCACUUACCUCGAACCAAUACAAAAAUCGCUAAGAAACGAUGCCCUUGCCACAAGUAUCCGUCUCCGAGUGGCCCAAAUAUUUUCAAACCAAUUACAUAUUGUAAAUAACAUCGCAAGUAACUAAUUCCACUAUUAAAUCUCCGAGUGGCCCAAAUCUAUUCAAACCAAUUACUUAUUGUAAAUAACAUCGCAAGUAACUAAUUCCACUAUUAAAAUUAAAGCUAAGGCGCGAAAAUAGUAGCAAUAUAGGUGCAAAAAAAUAUAUUUCUUUCACCACCUUUUGUUAUCUAAUUAAUAUGUUUAGAGAAAACUAAUCUUCAAUCUUAAAUGGGAUGGACCUAGCCCAAACGAAAUAGCAAUAUAGAUAUCAGAAAAUUCUCCUUCUAUCAUAAAUGGGAUGGACAAGUAGCAAUAUAGGUCAGAAAAAAAAA
rnacentral:lncRNA from 1 species